UUAUCCGUGAGGAUAGGACUGAAGGAAGCGAGCCUACAAACUCUGGUACUGACGAACAGGAAUCUGACACGAGGCUAUGCGGUAGGGUAAGCAAACACAUCAUUGUAACGCCCAAGACUCCAAGCAAUUGGAGACUACCAAAAUAGUAGAUCAGGCAGUAAUUAGAGGAAAGAAGAUGUAC
rnacentral:ncRNA from 1 species